rnacentral:snRNA from 1 species
UGAGAAGAUUAGCAUGGCCCCUGCACAAGGAUUCAUGCAAAUUCGUGAAGCAUUCCAUAUUUUU